CCUACGGGAGGCAGCAGUGAGGAAUAUUGGUCAAUGGCCGGGAGGCUGAACCAGCCAAGUCGCGUGAGGGAAGACGGCCCUACGGGUUGUAAACCUCUUUUGUCAGGGAGCAAGGUGCAGGUCGGGACCUGCUGUGAGAGUACCUGAAGAAAAAGCAUCGGCUAACUCCGUGCCAGCAGCCGCGGUAAUACGUAGGGGGCAAGCGUUAUCCGGAUUUACUGGGUGUAAAGGGAGCGCAGACGGCAGUGCAAGUCUGGAGUGAAAGCCCGGGGCCCAACCCCGGAACUGCUCUGGAAACUGUGCGGCUAGAGUACUGGAGGGGCAGGCGGAAUUCCUAGUGUAGCGGUGAAAUGCGUAGAUAUUAGGAGGAACACCAGUGGCGAAGGCGGCCUGCUGGACAGUAACUGACGUUGAGGCUCGAAAGCGUGGGGAGCAAACAGGAUUAGAUACCCCGGUAGUC
rnacentral:rRNA from 1 species